AGCCCCGGAGCCUUUUAGAGGCUCUUCUUCAAAUUUGCAUUUUGACGUGGAACACCCCAGGACU
rnacentral:tRNA from 1 species